rnacentral:rRNA from 1 species
UGGGGUGCUCGAGUGGCGAACGGGUGAGUAACACGUGAGUAACCUGCCCUUGACUUUGGGAUAACUUCAGGAAACUGGGGCUAAUACCGGAUAGGAGCUCCUGCUGCAUGGUGGGGGUUGGAAAGUUUCGGCGGUUGGGGAUGGACUCGCGGCUUAUCAGCUUGUUGGUGAGGUAGUGGCUUACCAAGGCUUUGACGGGUAGCCGGCCUGAGAGGGUGACCGGCCACAUUGGGACUGAGAUACGGCCCAG